rnacentral:rRNA from 1 species
UACGUAGGCAGCGAGCGUUGUUCGGAAUUACUGGGCGUAAAGAGUGUGUAGGCGGUUCUUUCAGUCUGUUGUGAAAUCUCCCGGCUUAACUGGGAGGGUGCAGCGGAAACUAGAGUGCUAGAGGGUGGGAGAGGUAAGCGGAAUUCCUGGUGUAGCGGUGAAAUGCGUAGAUAUCAGGAGGAACACCUGUGGUGUAGACAGCUUACUGGACCGCUUCUGACGCUGAGACACGAAAGCGUGGGUAGCAAACAGG